UACAGAGGGUGCGAGCGUUGUCCGGAAUCACUGGGCGUAAAGGGCGCGUAGGUGGCGUCGCAAGUCGAUGGUGAAAGCUCGUCGCUCAACGACGAGUUGGCCAUUGAUACUGCGAGGCUCGAGCACUGUAGAGGCAGAUGGAAUUCCGGGUGUAGCGGUGGAAUGCGUAGAGAUCCGGAAGAACACCGGUGGCGAAGGCGGUCUGCUGGGCAGUAGCUGACACUGAGGCGCGACAGCGUGGGGAGCAAACAGG
rnacentral:rRNA from 1 species